rnacentral:rRNA from 1 species
ACUGAAUAAUAUUUUUAUUGCUUAGGCAUUAAAGAUCAAAGGUGGCCUCUACAUGUAAGCUACUGUUUGGGGAUGAGCCCGCGUACCAUUAGCUUGUUGGUAGGGUAACGGCCUACCAAGGCCGCGAUGGUUAGCUGGUCUGAGAGGAUGAUCAGCCACACUGGAACUGACACACGGUCCAGACUCCUACGGGAGGCAGCAGUGAGGAAUUUUGCGCAAUGGGGGAAACCCUGACGCAGCAACGCCGCGUGAGUGAUGAAGGCUUUAGGGUCGUAAAGCUCUGUCAAGUGGGAAGAAACCAUUUGGUGUUAAUACCACCAUGUGCUGACGGUACCACUGAAGGAAGCACCGGCUAACUCCGUGCCAGCAGCCUCGGUAAUACGGGGGGUGCAAGCGUUAUUCGGAAUUACUGGGCGUAAAGAGCGCGUAGGCGGUCUUUUAAGUCAGGUGUGAAAGCCCGGGGCUCAACCCCGGAAGUGCACUUGAAACUGAAAGACUUGAGUAUGGGAGAGGGAAGUGGAAUUCCUGGUGUAGCGGUGAAAUGCGUAGAUAUCAGGAGGAACAUCGGUGGCGAAGGCGACUUCCUGGACCAAUACUGACGCUGAGGCGCGUAGGCGUGGGGAGCAAACAGGAUUAGAUACCCUGGUAGUCCACGCAGUAAACGUUGAACACUAGGUGUAGCGGGUAUUGACCCCUGCUGUGCCGCAGCAAACGCAUUAAGUGUUCCGCCUGGGGAGUACGACCGCAAGGUUAAAACUCAAAGGAAUUGACGGGGGCCCGCACAAGCGGUGGAGCAUGUGGUUUAAUUCGACGCAACGCGAAGAACCUUACCUGGAUUUGACAUCCCGGGAAUCUUUUUGAAAGAUUAGAGUGCCUUCGGGGAGCCCGGUGACAGGUGCUGCAUGGCUGUCGUCAGCUCGUGUCGUGAGAUGUUGGGUUAAGUCCCGCAACGAGCGCAGCCCCUUUCUUUAGUUACCAUCAUUUAGUUGGGGACUCUAAAGAUACUGCCCCGGUUAACGGGGAGGAAGGUGGGGAUGACGUCAAGUCCUCAUGGCCUUUAUGUCCAGGGCUACACACGUGCUACAAUGGGCUGUACAAAGGGUUGCCAACCUGCGAGGGUGAGCUAAUCCCAUAAAGCAGUCCUUAGUUCGGAUUGGAGUCUGCAACUCGACUCCAUGAAGCUGGAAUCGCUAGUAAUCGUGGAUCAGCAUGCCACGGUGAAUACGUUCCCGGGCCUUGUACACACCGCCCGUCACACCAUGAGAGUUGGUUG